GCUGCCUCCGGAGAGCGGCGUCGCCCGCGCUCCCCUCCUCGCCCGAGGUCUGACUGGACACAACUACCAUCUUGGGGUGCCUGACUGGUUGUCUGCAAGGGAGGUGUGUAGACAUCAGCUCUCUCUUUCCCUGACAACUCGUUGCUGUGGUACAGCACAGGACAUGAGCAAAAUGCUCCAUAGCAUCUGAGAUGGCAGUGAAAAUCCUGUGACAGAGGCAAGAACCUUGGAGAUUGGUACAAGCAUGAAACUCCAAAGAGGAGCUGGGGAAGGACUCUGGAGUAGCCUGGAGCCAUAACUACACUUAGAAAGGUGGAGAGGACAAAUGUGAAGGGAGCACAUAUGACAAGCAAGAGACCUGAAACAAAGCACUCCAAAGCCCUGUGAGGUAUGGAUAUUGGUUAUGAAGUUUGUAAAGCUGAACUGUUCAGCUUCUCUCACUUCUUUUCACUGCUUUC
rnacentral:lncRNA from 1 species